UACGUAGGGUCCGAGCGUUAAUCGGAAUUACUGGGCGUAAAGCGUGCGCAGGCGGUUUUGUAAGCCAGAUGUGAAAGCCCCGGGCUCAACCUGGGAACUGCAAUGGAAACUGGCGGGCUUGAGUGUGGCAGAGGGGGGUGGAAUUCCGCGUGUAGCAGUGAAAUGCGUAGAGAUGCGGAGGAACACCGAUGGCGAAGGCAGCCCCCUGGGCCAACACUGACGCUCAGGCACGAAAGCGUGGGGAGCAAACAGG
rnacentral:rRNA from 1 species